ACAACCAGCACUCUUCCUCCCGGAAAACCAUUAACUGCUCUACUUCUCUCUCAUUUUUGGGGAUUGGGAGAAAAUGUCAAAAUCUGGAGCUUUGGAUCUUACCACUAAUUUGGGUGGGAAGAUCAAGAAGCAGGAAGUUCAAUCUGCUGUACAACAGUAUGAGAAAUAUCAUGUUUGUUUUGGAGGAGAUGAAGAGACAAGAAAGGCCAACUACGCUGAUAUGGUGAAUAAAUACUAUGACCUUGCUACCAGCUUCUACGAAUAUGGAUGGGGAGAGUCUUUUCAUUUUGCUCACAGAUGGAAAGGAGAGUCCUUACGUGAGAGCAUCAAAAGACAUGAACACUAUCUUGCACUACAGUUGGGGUUGAAAGAGGGAAUGAAGGUUUUGGACGUGGGAUGUGGAAUUGGUGGACCACUGCGAGAAAUUGCAAGAUUUAGCUCAACAUCUAUUACUGGCUUGAACAACAAUGAAUACCAAAUCUCAAGAGGAACUGAGUUGAACCGCUUAUUAGGAUUGAGUGAUUCCUGUAAUUUUGUCAAGGUUGCAUGCUAUAAGGAGAUAUACAGAGUUCUAAAGCCCGGACAAUGUUUCGCUGCCUAUGAAUGGUGCAUGACUGAUAAUUUUGAUCCUAACAACCAAAUUCAUCAGAGAAUAAAAGCUGAAAUUGAGCUUGGUAAUGGACUCCCUGACAUAAGAUCAACAACUCAAUGCCUUGAGGCUUUGAAACUUGCCGGUUUUGAGGUUUUAUCAGAAAAGGAUCUUGCAGCAGAUUCCCCUGUAACUUGGUAUCUACCUCUUGAUACUAGUCAGUUCUCGUUAACCAGCUUUCGUUUAACAUCAUUAGGAAGUUUCAUCACUAGAACAAUGUUCAACAAUUUGAGUUGUAGGUCAAGGCAUUAGAGUUUGUGCAUCUUGCGCCAGCAGGAAGUCAGAGAGUCUCAUCCAUUUUAGAGAAGGCUGCCGAAGGCCUUGUGGAAGGCGGAAGAAUGGAGAUUUUCACACCGAUGUAUUUCUUUUUGGCACGGAAGCCGGUUUCAAAUUAUUGAGGAGAUAUGAUGACAGAAAUUAGCUGAAAUUCGACAGCUCUUCAAUUAUAUCCGUGUUUCAAUUGAUAUAUUUGUUCUGGGAAAGAGUAGUUUUCGGUUUCGUUUUUGGUCUCCGUUCAUUUAUGUGCAUGACUUGUCAAAAUGUUGGUCAAGAUAUGAAGAUCCAACUGCAGACAGACUUAUUCUAAUUCUCCUUCAAGAUGUAAUUUAUGACAUGAGUCAUUCAUUAGUUAAUUUUAUCACUCUGAAAUGUCAAAAUUGUACUUUUUAACGGAGAAGGCAUUAUGCAAAUUAUGGGCUUUCGCAUUA